GACGAACGCUGGCUGCAGGCCUAACACAUGCAAGUCGAACGAGUGGCGGACGGGUGAGUAAUGUCUGGGAAACUGCCCGAUGGAGGGGGAUAACUCCUGGCAACGGUAGCUAAUACCGCAUACCCUCGGAUGUGCCCAGAUGGGAUUAGCUAGUAGGUGGGGUAACGGCUCACCUAGGCGACGAUCCCUAGCUGGUCUGAGAGGAUGACCAGCCACACUGGAACUGAGACACGGUCCAGACUCCUACGGGAGGCAGCAGUGGGGAAUAUUGCACAGUGGGCGCAAGCCUGAUGCAGCCAUGCCGCGUGUAUGAAGAAGGCCGUCGGGUUGUAAAGUACUUUCAGCGAGGAGGCGUUACUCGCAGAAGAAGCACCGGCUAACUCCGUGCCAGCCGCCGCGGUAAUUC
rnacentral:rRNA from 1 species